AGUGAACGCUGGCGGUAGGCCUAACACAUGCAAGUCGAACGGCAGCACAGUAAGAGCUUGCUCUUACGGGUGGCGAGUGGCGGACGGGUGAGGAAUACAUCGGAAUCUACUUUUUCGUGGGGGAUAACGUAGGGAAACUUACGCUAAUACCGCAUACGACCUACGGGUGAUAGCAGGGGAUCUUCGGACCUUGCGCGAUUGAAUGAGCCGAUGUCGGAUUAGCUAGUUGGCGGGGUAAAGGCCCACCAAGGCGACGAUCCGUAGCUGGUCUGAGAGGAUGAUCAGCCACACUGGAACUGGGACACGGUCCAGACUCCUACGGGAGGCAGCAGUGGGGAAUAUUGGACAAUGGGCGCAAGCCUGAUCCAGCCAUACCGCGUGGGUGAAGAAGGCCUUCGGGUUGUAAAGCCCUUUUGUUGGGAAAGAAAAGCAGCAGGUUAAUACCCCGCUGUUCUGACGGUACCCAAAGAAUAAGCACCGGCUAACUUCGUG
rnacentral:rRNA from 1 species